AGCAGUCGCCGCGGGAAUACGGAGGGAGCUAGCGUUGUUCGGAAUUACUGGGCGUAAAGCGCACGUAGGCGGCUUUGUAAGUUAGAGGUGAAAGCCUGGAGCUCAACUCCAGAAUUGCCUUUAAGACUGCAUCGCUUGAAUCCAGGAGAGGUGAGUGGAAUUCCGAGUGUAGAGGUGAAAUUCGUAGAUAUUCGGAAGAACACCAGUGGCGAAGGCGGCCCGCUGGACAUGUACUGACGCUGAGGUACGAAAGCGUGGGGAGCAAACAGGAUUAGAUACCCGGGUAGUCCCUGUCUCUUAUAC
rnacentral:rRNA from 1 species